rnacentral:lncRNA from 1 species
UUUCAGAUCCAAUGUGUAUGGUAUGCAUCUGCUCCAGGCCACCUUCAGGGUUGCUGUUUUUGCAAUGGUGAAACUGUGGCAGCGUGUCAACAACGACAUUUAUAUUUGUUGUUGCCUGUUCUUCAGAGAAAAUGGGAAGCAAUCUAUAUUACAAGUUGCUUACUGAAAUUCCAUGUGGAACAUAAAUAGCUUUGCAUGUAAGAAUUUUUCAGAUGUUGUUUAGCAUUGUUAUGAAUAGUCUGUUUCCCAAAAUCAUGAGUUCUUGUUACUUGACAAAACUUUGGCAUUCAUGCUCAUGUACACAAGGAUAAUAAUGGAUAAAGUAUACUAAGAAAUGGACAAGGUUAUCAUUAUAUAUUGCAUAGACAAAUAUUUGUAACAAUGCGCACCACCAAUGCAGUUCCACUAUUUUGCUUAUAACUGAGUACUUACAGAGCUAUAACCCGCUGUCUUGCUAGAACAUAGGAACUCCCCUGGAAGAGUAUUGGCAGGCACAAGGUCCUGCAAAAAGAAACCGUGUGCCAAUUUAGAGGAUAUUUGUUAAUUAUUCCUACAAAACUGGAGCUAAUAAACUCCACUGCUACAUAUUCACUGUACUCUUACCACAAAUGUUUUAUAUGGUGUCACAUUUUAUAACACAACUGAUGAGUGCAACUCUGUUCCAUCAGCCAGAGCUACCUACAGAUUCUCAAUCCUGUAAGUGAUAGAAAGAAAUGAAUUGCACAAUAGACAUAAUUACAAAUCUCGGAUCAUGGACUUGCUAAUUCUUUAUUCUUAGAAUUAGCUUACCUUCUCAAAUCGACUUGCUGAAUGUUUAUGUUGUGCAUUUCCUAUGGAACAUAUAUGUUUUUUAUCUUGGAAAAUCCACGAUACUCUUUGUACCAUAGACUUGUUGUAUUUACGCACGAUGAAUGCAUCAGCGUGAAGCUACAAGCUAUGAUGGUACAUGAUGUCCCUGAUCUUUCUGUUCCAAAACUGGAAUUUGCAAACAUUUGACUAGAACUUGUUUGAUACUUUGCAGCACAACCCAUGGGAGCAGACAUCACUUCGCGAUUAAAUAAUGGAUGAGAAAUGCCUUUAUUCGUGUGCUAUAUGAAACUGGUUACAUUAUUGUAGACUUUUGGUACAGCUUGUACAACUAGUUGCCGCUGUGUUGCAGCUAGCGCCUCUUGUCCUUUUUCUUUUUUCUGUAACAUGCACAAGAGUGUUGUUAGUUUCGUGAGUGUGACUACUGGCCUGGGAGACCGACGAAGUGAAAGAGGGCGUUGGCUGCUUCCUGAAUAUUGUUGUCUAGUUUCUCAUCCUGUACAAUAGUUUAGCUUCUUUUGAUUGUAGCCUGGUUUCUAUUUUGCUUGUUGUAAGCUGGCCCAGUUUGGAAAUUCCACGAAACUAUUUGUACUAGUAUAUUUCUGUGUUGGAUGAAGCUGGAAGCAUUAACACAAAGUAAGCACCUGCUGACGACACACGAUGGACAGAAAGUACACUCUCAGUUCAAACUUGCUGGUUGAUACUCCCAAAAUAGAUUGGGAACUAAUUCUUAUCAAUGGUAUAUUCUUUUAGAAAUG